GACGAACGCUGGCGGCGUGCUUAACACAUGCAAGUCGAACGGAAAGGCCCUGCUUUUGUGGGGUGCUCGAGUGGCGAACGGGUGAGUAACACGUGAGUAACCUGCCCUUGACUUUGGGAUAACUUCAGGAAACUGGGGCUAAUACCGGAUAGGAGCUCCUGCUGCAUGGUGGGGGUUGGAAAAUUUCGGCGGUUGGGGAUGGACUCGCGGCUUAUCAGCUUGUUGGUGGGGUAGUGGCUUACCAAGGCUUUGACGGGUAGCCGGCCUGGGAGGGUGACCGGCCACAUUGGGACUGGGAUACGGCCCAGACUCCUACGGGAGGCAGCAGUGGGGAAUAGUGCACAAUGGGCGGAAGCCUGAUGCAGCAACGCCGCGUGCGGGAUGACGGCCUUCGGGUUGUAAGCCGCUUUCGCCUGUGACGAAGCGUGAGGGACGGUAAUGGGUAAAGAAGCACCGGCUAACUACGUG
rnacentral:rRNA from 1 species